rnacentral:lncRNA from 1 species
UCAUUCAACACACAAAAACCCAGUAGGGGACUAUGAUGAGGACACCACGAGUACAUCUACACCAGCAGCACCUCAGGCGCCUCCAGUUGCCCCUCCACCUCAGGUGCCUACAGUUGAUCAUCCAGUUGGGCCAAUCACUCGGGCCCGUGCGAGAGAAUUAAACUUCAUCAUGCUGUUAAGGAACGAAGGCCCAGCGGAAUAAGAAGAUGGCCCAACAGGGCAGCCCAGGUGGGACGCCUAGGGUUGGGAGCCGCGGCCCUUCCCCUGGUCGCGCGCGCCCCCCUCCUGCCGUGGCGCCUCCUCCGGACUCCAGGGGCUGCGCCCCCUUUAUUUAGUCGGAGUCCCUUUUGUUUACGACUUGAGUUUUGUUUUACAUCUAGCUUUAGCUACUCUCGAACACGCGCAAAUACGCGCUGUCCUUGUGUGAUUCAGAACUCCACCUUCGAGUGAUAUUUAGAUUGCUCGCCUCUUUUUCUUGUUCGUUCUUCGAUUGCG